rnacentral:rRNA from 1 species
UACAGAGGGUGCAAGCGUUAAUCGGAAUGACUGGGCGUAAAGGGUGUGUAGGCGGUUGAUUAAGUUAGAUGUGAAAUCCCCGGGCUUAACCUGGGAACUGCAUUUAAUACUGGUUGACUAGAGUAUGGGAGAGGUAAGUGGAAUUUCCGGUGUAGCGGUUAAAUGCGUAGAUAUCGGAAGGAACACCAGUGGCGAAGGCGGCUUACUGGCCUAAUACUGACACUGAACCACGAAAGCGUGGGGAGCAAACAGG